rnacentral:rRNA from 1 species
GACGGUACCCAAGAAGAAAGCCCCGGCUAACUACGUGCCAGCAGCCGCGGUAAUACGUAGGGGGCGAGCGUUGUCCGGAAUUACUGGGCGUAAAGGGUGCGUAGGCGGCCCUUUAAGUCAGAUGUGAAAGCCCGCAGCUUAACUGCGGAAUUGCAUUUGAAACUGGAGGGCUUGAGUGUCGGAGAGGGUAGUGGAAUUCCCAGUGUAGCGGUGAAAUGCGUAGAUAUUGGGAGGAACACCAGCGGCGAAGGCGACUGCCUGGACGAUAACUGACGCUGAGGCACGAAAGCUAGGGGAGCAAACAGGAUUAGAUACCCUGGUAGUCCUAGCCGUAAACGAUGGGUACUAGGUGUAGGUGGUUUCGAUACCAUCUGUUCCGUAGUUAACGCAUUAAGUACCCCGCCUGGGGAGUACGUGCGCAAGCAUGAAACUCAAAGGAAUUGACGGGGGCCCGCACAAGCGGUGGAGCAUGUGGUUUAAUUCGAAGCAACGCGAAGAACCUUACCAGGUCUUGACAUCCCUGGACAGCUGUGGAAACACAGUUUCCCUUCGGGGCCAGGAGACAGGUGGUGCAUGGUUGUCGUCAGCUCGUGUCGUGAGAUGUUGGGUUAAGUCCCGCAACGAGCGCAACCCUUGCCUUUAGUUGCCAUCAUUAAGUUGGGGACUCUAAAGGGACUGCCGGUGACAAAUCGGAGGAAGGUGGGGAUGACGUCAAAUCAUCAUGCCCCUUAUGAUCUGGGCUACACACGUGCUACAAUGGGUGGUACAGAGGGAAGCGAAGCCGUGAGGCGGAGCGAAUCCCAGAAAGCCACUCUCAGUUCGGAUUGCAGGCUGCAACUCGCCUGCA